GACGAACGCUGGCGGCGUGCUUAACACAUGCAAGUCGAACGGAAAGGCCCUGCUUUUGUGGGGUGCUCGAGUGGCGAACGGGUGAGUAACACGUGAGUAACCUGCCCUUGACUUUGGGAUAACUUCAGGAAACUGGGGCUAAUACCGGAUAGGAGCUCCUGCUGCAUGGUGGGGGUUGGAAAUUUUCGGCGGUUGGGGAUGGACUCGCGGCUUAUCAGCUUGUUGGUGGGGUAGUGGCUUACCAAGGCUUUGACGGGUAGCCGGCCUGAGAGGGUGACCGGCCACAUUGGGACUGGGAUACGGCCCAGACUCCUACGGGAGGCAGCAGUGGGGAAUAUUGCACAAUGGGCGGAAGCCUGAUGCAGCAACGCCGCGUGCGGGAUGACGGCCUUCGGGUUGUAAACCGCUUUCGCCUGUGACGAAGCGUGAGUGACGGUAAUGGGUAAAGAAGCACCGGCUAACUACGUG
rnacentral:rRNA from 1 species